rnacentral:rRNA from 1 species
UACAGAGGUCUCGAGCGUUGUUCGGAUUCAUUGGGCGUAAAGGGCGCGUAGGCGGCGGGGUAAGUCUGGUGUGAAAUCUCGGAGCUCAACUCCGAAAUUGCACUGGAUACUGCUCUGCUAGAGGGCUGGAGAGGAGAUCGGAAUUCCCAGUGUAGAGGUGAAAUUCGUAGAUAUCGAGAGGAACACCGGUGGCGAAGGCGGCCAACUGGACGAAUACUGACGCUGAGACUCGAAAGCGUGGGGAGCAAACAGG